rnacentral:rRNA from 1 species
UACGUAGGGUGCGAGCGUUGUCCGGAAUUAUUGGGCGUAAAGGGCUCGUAGGCGGUUUGUCGCGUCGGGAGUGAAAUCCACUGGCUUAACUGGUGGCUUGCUUUCGAUACGGGCAGACUGGAGGUAUGCAGGGGAGAACGGAAUUCCUGGUGUAGCGGUGGAAUGCGCAGAUAUCAGGAGGAACACCGGUGGCGAAGGCGGUUCUCUGGGCUUACCUGACGCUGAGGAGCGAAAGCAUGGGGAGCAAACAGG